AUUCUUUGCUACAAACUUGGGCCUGAAAGGCAGGUGGGGUAAAGGAACAGCACUAGUCUUAGAACCAGCCUUUUACUGGCUAUGACACCUUGAGCUAGUCCCUUGGCUUGUCUGAGCCUCAGUUUGUCCUUCUGGAAGGUAAGGAUUAUGAUGAAAUUAUCCUCAAAGUAGGGGUGGCAGGCAAACACUAGCAGGCCCUGGAUAAAUGCAUGUGAAUGGCUCUCCAGAUUGCUGGAUUCCAGUUCUGCCUGGCUGUGUUUUUUUUUGUUUUGUUUUGUUUUUUGAGACAGAGUCACGCUCUGUCACCCAGGCUGGAGUGCAGUGGUGCAAUCUCGGCUCACUACAAGCUCUGCCUCCCAGGUUCACGCGAUUCUCCUGCCCAAGCCUCCUGAGUAGCUGGGAUUACAGGCAUGCACCAACACGCCUGGCUAAUUCUGUAUUUUUAGUAGAGGCGGGGGUUUCUCCAUGUUGGUCAGGCUGGUCUCGAAUUCCUGACCUCAGGUGAUCCGCCCGCCUCAGCACUCCCAAAGUACUGGGAUUACAGCUGUGAGGCACCGCACCCAGCCAAAAAUUUCCAGUUGCUUUCUUUUCUUUUUGAGAUAGAGUUUCACUCUUGUUGCCCAGACUGGAGUGCAAUGGCACGAUCUCGACUCACUGCAACCUCUGCCUCCUGGGUUCAAGCAAUUCUCCUGUCUCAGCCUCCCAAGUAGCUGGAAUUACAGGCGUGUGCUACCAUGCCCAGCAAUUUUUUUUUUUUUUUUUUCAGUAGAGAUGGAGUUUCACCAGGCCAGGCUGAUCUCGAACUCCUGACCUCAGGUGAUCCACCCGCCUCAGCCUCCCAAAGUGAUAGGAUUAUGAUUACAGGCGUGAGCCACUGCGCCCUGCCUGGGCUGUGGUCUUUAACUGGCUGAGAGCCUUCAGAUGAGAACACUCUGAGCCUCAGUCUCCUUCAAUGGAGGCACUGGACAGCAGGAAGUCAGAGAAGACUUUCAGUGCUAACUGCUCAGUUUUUAUCAAAGCAACUGUGAAUUGUAGAAAGGGGAAAAUUAGCUCUGAAGUAUUUAAGAGGAAAAUGGGGAAUUUUCUUGGAAUUGAUUGAACAUGUUUUAAGACAUCACAAGGAUGCCUCCAAACCUGCUUGACUAUGAACAAUGACUUGUUCUCCUCCAAGGACUAGAUAUGGAGUCUUAUGCUGACCAGGCUGGUCUUGAACUCCUGACCUCCAGUGAUCCUCCAUCUCAGCCUCCCAAAGCCCUGGAAUUACAGGUAUGAGCCACCAUGCCCAGCAGUAGUAAAGAUGAAAUGAGAGGUGAAAAUAACGAGACUAAACACAUAAUGAAAGCCAGAAUACACUGUCAGUCACAAAGAAUAGACACAACUGUGAAUGAAGUCUGACUGAGCCACUUCCUCAAUGUGUGCCCUGGCUGUUCUGAGUCUCAGUUUCCACAAUUUAUACAUUGGAGAAAAUAACUCCUUCCUCACUAGGCUUGUGAGAGGAUCCCAGGAGGUCAUUUACCUGAUAUGUGCCUGAUGCCUGACAGGUGCUCACUAAAUGCUAACUGCUAUUGUAGUUACCUUGUUACUUUCUCCAAAUAGGACACAUUCAGGGAGAAAUGUAAGGGAACCAUAUACAGGGAAAUGGUUAGGCAUUUCUUCCAUGCCUACUUUUCCAAUGAGGAAACUAAAACUCAGAGGUCAGGUGAGCUGCCUUGGGUCAUACAGCAAGCAAGAGUCUGACUGAGCCCACCACUGAAGGCCCCCUGACUAUGGGGCCAAAUGAGGUUCUCUUUUCCCUGAACCACAUGGAGGUGGCUUGUCUGUGGUGUUACAAGUGGUUCAGACUGGCUAGUGUAACACAGAGAUUCUGAGAACCUUGUGGGAAGGGCCCUGUAAUGAGUUAUCGGAGGACUUUGGUGCUUUAGGGACAGAGAGGUUGCUUGUGGCAUAGUCUUGGAUGUACAGAUUAGGUACAGCAUCUUGGGAAGAAGAGAUAGGGAAAGAUGCAAGGAAGGAAAUGAAAUGCAUAUUUAUUAUGCACCUACCAUAAGCUGGAUGUUUCCCAAUAUGCUAUCUUUUUUAAUCCCCACAAAACUCAGAGGACCUCUAAGAUACAAUAUACUCAUUUUACAGGCAAGGUUAUUGAAGAUCACACAGGCUGAAGAAGGGCUGCUGAAUUCUUCAAUAUGAACCAUCCCUUUGAUAAGAAACUGAGUGGGCCUGGUUCUUCUCAUCCCAGGAGAGCUCUGGUGUGCUUCCUGGCAUAUAAGUGAGUGGGAAAGGCUCUGCCAGUCCCCAGUCCCCCACCCCUCUUGCCACUCAGCCUCAAUCUGUCAACCAGGCCAGCUAGCCCGUCUAUUAAUGCUGACAUUGAUUUGGAUCAAUCAAGAUCCCAUAAUUACUGGGAGUUUUAAUCAACUCAUGCCAAUUCAGCUGCCGCUCAAUUUGUGCUGGACUUCGGUGCUCACAAGGAGGGAAGCGGCGAGGGUGGGGUGGGGCGGGGGGAGGGCAUGCAAAAAGGAUUACAGGGAUCAAUAGUCCUUGGUAAUGAAGGACAGCAGCUGCAGGCACCACCAGGGGGCCUGAGACUUCAGAGUGGAGGAGACAGAGCCUGCCCCCAUCCCCCAGGAGAGCUCCCUGGCAGAGAAUGAAAACCACGCCCCUGCUUCACCUCUGCCUACACCUGGAUCUGGAAACCACUUAGGCACUACCAGGCAGCACCUGUUCUCUGCAGGGUCCAACCCUCAGUAUCUCUCUCCACAUUUUGCCCUCAGCCAGGCCUGGCCUCCUCUUCCUGAAGAAUCUUAUGUAUCCUUCAGAGCCAGCAAUCCCAUUACUGGGUAUACAUCCAAAAGAAAAUAAAUCGUUCUACCAAAAAGACACACGCAACCGUGUGUUCAUUGUUGCCCUAUUCACAAUAGCAAAGACAUGGACUCAACCUGUGCCCAUCAACUGGUGGAUUGGAUUUAAAAAAAUGUGGUGUGUAUACACUUGAAAUACUAUGCAGCCAUAAAAAAAUCAUGUCCUUUGCAGCAAUAUGGAUGCAGCUGGAGGCCAUUAUCCUAAGCUAAUUAACACAGGAAGAGAAAACUAAAUACCGCAUGUUCUCACUUAUAAGUGGGAGCUAGGACGGGCGUGGUGGCUCAUGCCUGUAAUCCCAGUGCUUUGGGAGGCCAAGGUGGAUAGAUCACCUCAGGUCAGGAGUUUGAGAUCAGCCUGGCCAACAUGGUGAAACCCCAUCUCUACUAAAAAUACAACAAAUUAGCCAGGGGUGGUGGCGGGCACCUGUAAUCUCAGGUACUCGGGAGGGUGAUGGGGGAGAAUUGCUUGAACUCGGGAGGCAGAUGUUGCAGUGAGCCAAGAUCGUACCAUUGCAUUCCAGCCUGGGCAACAUGAGCAAAACUCUGUCUCAAAAAAAAAAAAAAAAAGUGGGAGCUAUAUAUUGGGUACUUAUGGACAUUAAAAUGGCAAUAAUAGACACUGGGGACUACCAGAUGGGGGAAGGAGGCAGGGAGGUGAAAGGGAAGAAACAGGUGCAAGGAUUAAAAAACUACUUAUUGGGCACUACGCUUAGUACCUGAGUGAUGGGAUCAAUUGUACUGCAAACCUCAGAAUCACACAAUAUAUCCAGGUAACAAACCUGCACAUGUACCCUCUGAAGCUAAAAUAAAUGUUGAAAUUAUUUUUUAAUCAAAUUUUAAAAAACUCUGUAAAUUAUUUCUCAGCAGUCUCUGUGGUUAUGUUCCUGAGUUCAAAAAGCAGAAGAAUGCUGAGGAGACAAAAAAAUAAAAAUAAGAUUAAUCCAGAUACUGUCAUUUCCUAGCUGUGUGACUUCAGGCAAGUCACUGCACUUUUCUGGUCCUGUUUUUCCUGUUCUAAAAUAGACUCAAUAAUAAAUAACCGCCUCCUGGGAUUGCUGGGAACAUUGAGUGCUGUCACGAAUGAAAAAUCCUUGUGUGGAAGUUCCUUCUUCCUUUUGAUGUCCCACAUCAGAAAGAAUCAGUUUUCUUUUUCUCCCAUGUUCAUUAUUCUUCUCCUAGCACAAGCUUUAUUCUGCCAGGUGGGACGGUUUCUGGGUCACAGUCUGUUUCCCUACGAGUCCACAGCUAUUUGGGGACAGGGACUGUAAUACACACAGCUUCCUUUUCUCAGUCCAGCACGUGGGAGGGAGACAAGCCAGUAUGCAAGGCAAAUGUGGCCUUUGGGGUCAAGCAAGCUUGGGCUUGAAUCCCACCUGUCUUUGCCACUUACUAACCAUGUAAUGUUAGCCAGUCACUUCGUUAACAUUUGAACCUCAACUUCCUCAAAGUAAAAUGAGCCUAAUUACACCUACUCAGAAUUGCUACGGAGGAAAAAAAAAAAAACAAAAAGUUAGACAUUUAAUGUCCCUAACAUAGUAUCUAGCACAAUGGUAAGAUCCUGAUUGUUAUAAAAGUUGCUAUUAUGAUUAUUAUCACUCUUAAUAUUCAGUGCUCAGUAAAUAUUUUUGGAAUGUAAUAAAAUGUCUGGUUGUAUUGCUUAGUUUUGGCUUGAGUUCCAAUGAAAUACCAACAGGCCAUUAUCCCCACAUGCCAGCCAUCUGUGCAGCCUUCAACACACACUUACUGAAGACACCAGAAAGGAAAUUCAAAUGCUUUCAGGACACACUGUGGGCCAGGCACUAUAGGAAGUGUUUUCCUUAUACUGCUUUGCUGAAGGCCCACACUUCUAUGAGAUUGCUGUUAUUGCUGUUAUUAGCUUGAUGUCUGCAGAAGAGAAAACUGAGGCUUUGUGGCUGGAUAUGUCUUUCCUUGUAGUUCUAGCAGAACCAGGGUGCAAACAUGGGGGCGUUUGACUCCAGGCCCCUGCUCUCUCCACUGUACCAUACCAUUCUUUCUUUUUUUUGAGACGGAGUCUCACUGUGUUGCCCAGGCUGGAGUGUGGUGGUGCGAUCUCGGCUCAAUGCAAGCUCCACCUCCCGGGUUCACGCCAUUCUCCCGCCUCAGCCUCCCGAGUAGCUGGGACUACAGGCGCCUGCCACCAUGCCUGGCUAAUUUUGUUUCUCUUAUUUUUAGUAGAGACGGGGUUUCACCGUGUUAACCAGGAUGGUCUCGGUCUCCUGACCUCGUGAUCCGCCCGCCUCGGCCUCCCAAACGUACCAUUCCUUUCUUGUGGAGGCACCAAGAAGUAGAAAAUGUGAGAGUUCCCGACUUCAGGAAGAAUCUAGACCAAUGGUAGAGAUCAGCCUCAUGGAGAGAGGUGCUGACGCCAUUUGGAAGAAUAAUAUCCUGAGGUGCAGAGAUGUAAGAGAACUUCCCAAGAUCAUACAGUGAUUAGAUGUGGGGCGGGACAGAGGCUCCACUCAGGUCUGCACUGCUACAAAGCUGUACCCUCUGGGCUGAUGGCAUGGCUCAGUGAAGGAGCUCUCUCUGUUCCCAAGGCAGAGGCUCUAACUGUCUUCACCUGGGUUCAAGGCGCUGGGAGGAAAAUGAACAUCUGUUGUGUACCCCCCAUACACCAGACACACUGCUAGGCUAUGCUAAUUUAUGAAAUCUUCCCAACAACCCAGAAAAGAAUGCACCAUUAUUUUCACCACUCACAGAUGGAAAACAGGCUUGGAGAGGGAAGAUGACUUGCUUCAGGUCCUCACCAUAGAUGCUUGGAUGUCUUUCUGUUUUCAGAAGCCUCAUGUCCUAUUACUUCUCUGAGUAGCACAGAGCCGAGGGAAUUUUGCUACAGAUCAAGUGCAGGGAGGUAUUUGGGGAAAAUAGCUUAUUGUGACAUUGCCUGAGCACUUGACUAUGAAACCAGGUCUCCUCCUAAGAGCAUUGAAUGUGCAUUAACUCAUUCCCUCCUCAAAGCAAACCUAUGUGGCAAACACCAAACACCAAUAUCAUGCCCACUUAACAGAUGGAGAAUCUGAAGCGCAGCACGAAGAGGUGUAUUAACUUGAUGAAGGUCACACGGCCAGUAAGUGGUGGAGCCAGGAAGCCUGGCACCUGAGUCUCUUUUCUUAGCCCUUCCGCAAUACUUCCUCAUACAACAACCAUGUAAGGUAGUGUGACAUAGGAAAAACAAACUCAGUUUCUCCUGUGAUACCCUCUCACCACACAAUCAACACAGAACACUUCUGUGACCUCUGGUCACCAAGAAGUGUGUGGCAAUUUCUCUCUGGCAGCAACCAGUUCUCUGGGAGAUCUUUCAGCAGACACCAGCUGGGUGUCCUCUAAUUCAGUUCAAUUUUGACACUAUCUAACUGGAGAUGGUGUCAGAUCCCACAGGUUGAGUACUCAGUCCCAUAAGACUGCCUCCAAUUUCCACUGCCAAUUCCAAGCCCCAGGUUAUUAAACCUGUGCUUCUGAUGACCAGCUAUAAAUCAGGGUUCCCACAAUCCCUUCCUUGGGUUUCAUGAACUUGCUACAGCAGCUCACAGAACUCAGGGAAAUACUUAUGUUCCCUGGUUUAUUAUAAAGGAUAUACCAAUUAUCACCAGAUGGAAAAGUUGCACAGGGCAAAUAAUGUGGGAAGAGGCACGGAGUUUCCAUGCCCUGUCUGAGCACAUCGUCCUCCAGGAACCCCCAUGUGUUCUACUCUCUGGAAACUCUUGAACCUAGUCCUUUUGGAUUUUUAUGCACACUUCAAUACUUAGACAGCAUUGAUUAAAUCAUUGGCCACUGGUGAUCAACUUAACCUUUAAGCCCUUCUCCCCAGUUCAGAGGUUGGGGGUGGGGCUAAAAGUCCCAACCCUCUAAUCUUGUCUUGGCCUUUCCUGUGACCAGCCCUCACCCUGAAGCUACCUAAGGGUGGAUAGCCAUCAGUCAACUCAUUAGUAUACAAAAGACACUUAUCACUUUAAUGAUAACAAGAAUUUUAGAAGUUAUAUGCCCAGAAACAGGGAUAAACACCAAUAUAUAUUAAUUUGCAGGUACUAUUAUUUCACCCUUUUUUUGAAUACUGGGAGAUUAAGACUUAAAGAGGUUUAAAGCAACUUGUCUCAUUACAGAGGAAGGGAUCGAGACAGGAUUUGAACCUGUACAGCUUGAUACCAAAUAACUUGUGCCUAGCAGUGAGUUACUUAUUCAGGGGUCAGGGCCAGGCCUUCAUUAGGGCAGGCUGGACAUACGGACUUUUCCAUGCUGCUAGGUUUAACAGGCUGGUAUCGCUUCCCCAUCUCUUGUCACUAAAAACUCAAUUAGCAGCUUGAGGCUGUGUCCUCACAUCACACCUUCUCAUUGAUCACUCAGACUGUGAGUGAGAAAGAUUUUAAAGCUGGUUGGCUUUGCAAAGCAUAGAGCAGCAACCAUUGAGCAUAUGCUUCUGUGGGUAUAUAUUUAUUCAGCUUAUGUUGAGUAUAAUUUUGGAUGGUAUGCAUAUUUUAUUUUUUGUUGCAGAGAGCAAUUUAAAAGAAGAAAAAAAAUCCUUCUCUGAAUGGAGACAGAUGCCAUAUAUGUUGGACCCUCAGGGGAUUGAAAAGGAUGAGGUUCCCAAGUCCAGUGUUCUGGGGACGGACGUGGGUGGAAGGAAACUCACAAGUGAUGGGAAUCCAGGAUCAACUGCAACACCCACAGCAAGGCCAGCAAGGCACUAACCACCCAGUCCAGGGCAGGGCCCUUCAAGGUUUUAUUCCCAAGGCCUCCCCAGUAGCCUGUCUGACUGUUCUCUACAUGCUAUUUACUGAGUACUAAAUAUUGAGUGAUGGGUGAAGUGCACAUCAUCCCCCUUAACUUUCCCCACAACUCCAUGUUGAGAUGCUGUUGUACAUAUGAGAACACAGAUACUACAUUGCCCAAUGUCAUCAACUAGAACAGCAGGAAUCUGUGUGCUGGGAAGCCAGACCCCAGAACCAGUGCUCUCAAAUCCCCACCAAUGUCAUCUAGUGGUUACUGGAGUCCUUAUUUUGGAGUCCUGAUAUCCAUGCUACCAAUUCCUAUCUGAGUGACAAUGAACAUGUCACUUCCCUUUCUGAGUUGGCUUCCACACUCACAGGAUGGAGACUGAGAUACCAUUUUGCUAGGGUGUUAUCAAGAUUCAGAGAUCCAAAGUUACACUUAAAAGUCAUUUGAGACAUUUGUUCUUUUUUUCUACCCCACCCCCUGCCUAAAAGGUUCUCCUCUUACCCAGGAUGAACUCAAGAUGUAACAUUUUAAAAUGAGCCUUAGGAAAAAACCUGCAAGGGUUGGUACCAGCUGGAGAAAAAUAAAUACGCUCAUGUGGGUGCCAAAGAUUCAAAAGAGAGAAGCAGCAGCCCAAACCAGAGUCUACACCAGAGGGAAUCAUUAUGGAAGGAGAAAGUUCAUCCUAUCAUUGUGCAGAAAGGAAGGAUCCAUGUGUGACUCUAGGGAGUAGGAUCCAAAGCAUCAUUUUCUAGCUCUGUAAAUAGACUAUGGACUCUUUGCUAGUUAGGACACAGUAUCUUUCUAAUGUUAGGGCCCAGAAGAGGGUCUUACACAGCAGUACUUAGUUGUUGAGCUCUGAAUGCAGCUAAAAUUCAACUGUGGGUUGUCUAAUAACCAGUUUUUGCUUCAACCAAAGGCAAGUUUGAUCUAGUUUGAUAAGAUGUGCUAGAUGCUGGAGAAUCCAUUACCAACAGUCAAGAAUCACAUAAAAGAGCUGCUCUAUGCAUACCUAAGUGGGAAAACUGUAAAAAAAACAUGAUUAGCAUAAAAGACAGGGUCUUGGCCACUUCCAGAAGGGAGGACAGGGUUACAAUUGGAAAUGGAGGCAUGGUGGGUGUGUUGGGGGAGGGCUUAUGGAAUGCAGGCAAUAUUCUAUUUCUUGACAUGGGUGAUGGUUUAGGUGAGAAUUGCUUAAUUCGUAUCAAAACUGUAAAUAAUGUUUUACAUAUUUUUCUAUAUAUUAUAUUGCACAGUAAAAUUGCUAAACAUCUAUCUAUCUAUCUAUCUAUCUAUCUAUCUAUCUAUCUAUCUAGUUAUCUAUCUAUCUUAUAGUAAAUCUACUAAAAGGACAUGUCAAAAUGUUAGUAGUAGCUAUUUGGAGGUGACAUGACUAUGGGUGAUAUUGUUCUUUAUUUUUUCUCUAUAUGUCCUAAAUAUUCUUGUAUGUGCAUAUAAUAAUUUCAUAAUUAAAAAAAAACACGUUUUAGUUGAAUUGCUUCAUUACCUAAAUAAGGCAACAACAAAAACGUGAAGGUCAGUUCCACCACUUCUGCCUGAAAUUCCUCCAAUGGAGAACCUCAUCUUCUCCCUAAGGUUCAAUGUGCAUGAAAGAACAGCUCUGCAGAGUAAGUUGAGGGGUGCCAAAUCCCACUGGCUCUUAUAUAGGCCUAUCUGCAGUGUCUUCCCCCUCUGGAACCAAGUACAUCUUUGACUUAGGUACUGUGGCGGGAAAGGGAGAUGCCCCAGAGAGAAUCAAGUUUAACUCUGAAUUUGUAGGAAGGACAGGAGCAUAGCUGAGGAUUCACAGUAAACAGAGUCAUGUUGAGAAACAGGGUCCCUUCAUCACCUCGGACUGUAUUAUCCCCAUGAUCAUGGGCCUGAAAAAUCACCUUUCCCUUUCAGUGAUGAUGAAGAAAAUUUCUGAAAACCAAGGAAAGCCAGAAAAGGCUACUAAGUUUCCUAGCUCAACAAGCUCCUCUCUACACAAUAGGACCUGAUCUUAGGAAGGGAGGCCAUGGCCCUGGGUUUUGCUCAUGCCUGGCUACUUUCACUGGGUCCGGCCAACAAUAUUGUAAGGUGCAGGGAUCAUUCCCAUUUUAUGGAUCAGAUUAGAGGGGCUCAGAUACAUUCAGCAAUUUGUCCAAAGUCACACAGCUUCCCAGUUACAGGGAUGGGAUUUGAAUCCAACUCUGAAUUAUGGACAAGUCUAUUCUUUUUACUGGACUGGAAUUCUGAUUAACUAGCCCAUCUCUCUCUAGGAACGUCUGUCACUCAGUUCGGGUAGAAUUUUCUCAAUGAGGAGAAAGGCUAUUGAGUGUUUGAUGAAACCUUCUCACUGUUUGCUCCCUCAAGGGAAAGGGAUUUCAAAAUACCUGGGCUAGUGGGUCAAGACUUCUUAAAGCAGGGAUCAGAGAGAAGCUGGAGAAUACAGGCAAAAGGAUACCUUUAUUAUUUGUAAAAUUUAAUAACAAUAAUAAUAAUGUCAUUUGUCAUCCAUUUAUCCUCAAGACCUAUGAUAAAAGACAAAAGAAUGAUGAUAAAAAUAAAAGCAUGUUAUCCUGGGUGGAAGAGAGUCCUACACUGGAAUUUCAGACACCUGGGUUCUAUCCAAGCAUAGCUCUUGUGCUCUUUAGCCUCAAUUUGAUCAUCUUUAUUUAUUACCCAAGGGGAAAAUACACACACACACACACACACACACACACACACACACACACGGUUAAGAUCAAGCUAGGAAGUCAGUUGUCCUAAAAAGAAAAAAAAAUUGGAAAAGCUCUAGGAAAAGCAGAAUGUGUAGUUCUGACUUAGAAAAUUGUCCCGAAGAAACACAACUGUAUGCUUUUUAUGCUUCCAUUUUUAAAAUUACAUAUAUAAAUUCUUAUUUAUAUUUGCAUAUGCAUAGGGAAGAAGUGUAUGGAAGGAUAUGUAUCUAUCUAUAUAUACACCAAACCGUGG
rnacentral:lncRNA from 1 species